rnacentral:rRNA from 1 species
AUUGAACGCUGGCGGCAGGCCUAACACAUGCAAGUCGAGCGGAUGAAGGGAGCUUGCUCCUGGAUUCAGCGGCGGACGGGUGAGUAAUGCCUAGGAAUCUUCCUGGUAGUGGGGGAUAACGUCCGUAAACGGGCGCUUAUACCGCAUACGUCCUGAGGGAGAAAGUGGGGGAUCUUCGGACCUCACGCUAUCAGAUGAGCCUAGGUCGGAUUAGCUAGUUGGUGGGGUAAAGGCCUAACAAGGCGACGAUCCGUAACUGGUCUGAGAGGAUGAACAGUCACACUGGAACUGAGACACGGUACAGACUCCUACGGGAGGCAGCAGUGGGGAAUAUUGGAAGAUGGGCGAAAGCCUGAUCAAGCCAUGCCGCGUGGAUGAAGAAGGUCUUCGGAUUGUAAAGCACUUUAAGUUGGGAGGAAGGGCAGUAAGUUAAUACCUGGCUGUUUUGACGUUACCAACAGAAUAAGCACCGGCUAACUUCGUG